AGCGGAAGGCACAUGUGACUUGUGUCUCUUGCCUUACAAAUGGGUUAGCACCGCCUUCCCCAAUUCAAAGACGAGGCAAUUCCUCAGGUGGAGGGGCGGGAAAGAUAAGCCGAGCGGAGGGCGGAGGAAGAAAGUGGCAUCGCGACUGCUGACGAUGGAGGACGAGGACUACCUACGGUGGUAGGUUCCGAUCCGGCUGAUCUGUAGUUGGUUCACCAACCACGACCUCCCUUCGCCCUUGUUCUCUUUCCGGUGUGGAGUCGAUCGUGUCUUGAUGGACUUGCGUUACAUCGAACAAUCGCUAACACUCCCGGCCUCGGACCCAGAUCUCUCAGACGCGUCAGACACUUGAUCGACACCAUUAAGAGUCGUGCUGGAAGGGUUUGUGAGGUCCUACGGACUCCCUCGGCGUCGCACGUGAGUCGGUGGUAAUUAAAUAAAGACUUCCAAUUUGAAAGCGUCGGCUGCGAUCUCUCAUCAGGCACUCCAGGACCGACCAUCACGUUCCAUCGGGCAAACACAACCGUCCGAUCGAAGGUGUAAUCGUGCGCCCGGUCGUCCAAUCCUUUAGCCACCCUCAUAAUGCUCCGCUUUCCAGUGUUCCCGCCCAUAUCACGGGAAACGAAACGGAUCCCCUCCAUCUGGUUAUCGGCCGUCGCCCGUCUCUCUCUUCUCCCUCGCUUCCGCUUCCGCUUCCGCUUCGUACUAGUUUGCGGGGAUCGCGGUGAAAGCCGAUCCGUCGCUUCCCCCUCCUCCUCGGCACCGGAUCGCUCCUCUUUUCGUUCUUGUUCGUCGCCGUCUUCUUCGGGCUCGCCUACUUUGCUGAGGCCGGGGACUCGGAGGCGGCCAACGCGACGGAGUCGCGCAAGGGAUCGGCUAAGGAGGGCACCUUCGCCGACACGAUCGACCGCGUGCUCCAGAAGGAGUUCCCAGAGAGCGAGCAGAGUGGCGGGGAAACGGACCCUGGUGGCUUCAACAACAGUGUUGCCGAGAAACAGAUCAAUGGAUGUAACUUAGUCAGACAGUCCUGGUCGUAGCAAAUUGGGAGGUUGUGAAACCAAAGACUUGAGCUGCAAAGCACACAUAUACGUAAACAUUUACACAGGUAUAAAUAGGAGAGCGAGGAAACAGAGGGGGAGGAAAAGCUGAGGGAUCUACCAAGGCAAAAUAGUAUAAGGUUGAAGGGUGAGAAGCAAGUGAGAGAGAGAAGAGAAGGAAGACAGUGAGAGGCCGAGGUGGGAGAGGAAGGCGAAAGUAGAGCAAGGUUGAGCUGGUGGAGUCGAAGGGAAAGGCAAAGGAGGUUGAUGGGGGAGAGAAAGGCCAAGGUUAAGGGAGACGAGGAAGGCAAAAGAAAUGAUGUGUGUGUUCUGGACACAUGAUAAGAGGGGGAGGGGAGAGGAAGGUUAUAUGUGUGUUUUGGACAAGGAGAAUAAGGGGAGAGGAAGGUUAAUAAAAAUAUACAUAUGUAUAUAUAUAUAUAUCAUUUAUUGAUAUAAUUUGUAAUGUUUAUGUUUCAUAUAUAUGAUAAAUGAUAUGUAUGUUUUUGACUUUUAAAGUUGAAAUAUAUGCUUUUCAUAAAUAUUAUUAUUGGCUUUUUACAAAAUGUUAAUUGAGUAUUUUUAGUAUUCUUCAUAAGAAUCAAUG